rnacentral:rRNA from 1 species
CCUACGGGUGGCUGCAGUGAGGAAUAUUGCACAAUGGACGCAAGUCUGAUGCAGCAACGCCGCGUGGAGGAUGAAGGUCUUUGGAUUGUAAACUCCUUUUUUCAGGGAAGAGAAUGGACGGUACCUGAGGAAUAAGUCACGGCUAACUACGUGCCAGCAGCCGCGGUAAUACGUAGGUGGCAAGCGUUAUCCGGAAUUACUGGGCGUAACGCGCACGCAGGCGGUCUUUUAAGUUUGACGUGAAAGCUCUCGGCUUAACUGGGAGAGGUCGUUGAAGACUGGGAGACUUGAGGCAAUGAGAGGGGUGUAGAAGUCCCGGUGUAGUGGUGGAAUGCGUAGAUAUCGGGGGGAAUACCAGUGGCGAGAGCGGCACCCUAGCGUUGUACUGACGCUCAUGUGCGAAAGCGUGGGGAGCGAACGGGAUUAGAUACCCGGGUAGUC